rnacentral:tRNA from 3 species
GGCCCUAUCGUCUAAUGGUUAGGACACAAACUUUUCAAGUUUGGAAUCGGAGUUCGAUUCUCCGUAGGGCUGCAA